rnacentral:rRNA from 1 species
UGGGGAAUAUUGGACAAUGGGCGAAAGCCUGAUCCAGCAAUGCCGCGUGAACGAUGAAGGCCUUAGGGUUGUAAAGUUCUUUUGGUAGGGAAGAUAAUGACGGUACCUACAGAAUAAGCACCGACUAACUACGUGCCAGCAGUCGCGGUAAUACGUAGGGUGCAAGCGUUGUUCGGAAUUACUGGGCGUAAAGCAUGCGUAGGCGGCUUGACAAGUUGGAUGUGUAAUCCCCGGGCUUAACUCGGGAACUGCGUCCAAGACUGUUUGGCUAGAACAUGGUAGGGGGUAGUGGAAUUCUUAGUGUAGGGGUAAAAUCCGUAGAUAUUAAGAGGAACACCAGAAGCGAAGGCGGCUACCUGGGCCAUUGUUGACGCUGAGGCAUGACAGCGUGGGGAGCGAA